UACGUAGGGUGCAAGCGUUAAUCGGAAUUACUGGGCGUAAAGCAUGCGCAGGCGGUUCUAUAAGACAGCUGUGAAAUCCCCGGGCUCAACCUGGGAACUGCAUUUGUGACUGUAGAGCUGGAGUACGGUAGAGGGGGAUGGAAUUCCGCGUGUAGCAGUGAAAUGCGUAGAUAUGCGGAGGAACACCGAUGGCGAAGGCAAUCCCCUGGACCUGUACUGACGCUCAUGCACGAAAGCGUGGGGAGCAAACAGG
rnacentral:rRNA from 1 species